GAUGAACGCUGACAGAAUGCUUAACACAUGCAAGUCAACUUGAACUUCGGUUUGGGUGGCGGACGGGUGAGUAACGCGUAAAGAACUUGCCUCACAGAUAGGGACAACAUUUGGAAACGAAUGCUAAUACCUGAUAUUAUGAUUUUAGGGCAUCCUAGGAUUAUGAAAGCUAUAUGCGCUGUGAGAGAGCUUUGCGUCCCAUUAGCUAGUUGGAGAGGUAACGGCUCACCAAGGCGAUGAUGGGUAGCCGGCCUGAGAGGGUGAUCGGCCACAAGGGGACUGAGACACGGCCCUUACGCCUACGGGAGGCAGCAGUGGGGAAUAUUGGACAAUGGACCAAGAGUCUGAUCCAGCAAUUCUGUGUGCACGAUGAAGUUUUUCGGAAUGUAAAGUGCUUUCAGUUGGGAAGAAAAAAAUGACGGUACCAACAGAAGAAGUGACGGCUAAAUACGUG
rnacentral:rRNA from 1 species